AUGCUUACCAGGCGGGUGAGAUACCAUGAUCGUGAAGAUAGUUUGCUCAGGGUAAUCCUAUUCCAUUGCACUUCUGAUGUACUGACCCCGAGAUUUCCCCAAAUAUGGGAAACUUGACUGUAUAACUUGUGGUCGUGGGAGAUUACAUUCACACUGUUCCCUA